rnacentral:rRNA from 1 species
AAGCGACAGCGUGGUAUCCUGUCUGAAUAUGGGGGGACCAUCCUCCAAGGCUAAAUACUCCUGACUGACCGAUAGUGAACCAGUACCGUGAGGGAAAGGCGAAAAGAACCCCGGCGAGGGGAGUGAAAAAGAACCUGAAACCGUGUACGUACAAGCAGUGGGAGCACAGAGCAAUCUGUGUGACUGCGUACCUUUUGUAUAAUGGGUCAGCGACUUAUAUUCUGUAGCAAGGUUAACCGAAUAGGGGAGCCGAAGGGAAACCGAGUCUUAACUGGGCGUUAAGUUGCAGGGUAUAGACCCGAAACCCGGUGAUCUAGCCAUGGGCAGGUUGAAGGUUGGGUAACACUAACUGGAGGACCGAACCGACUAAUGUUGAAAAAUUAGCGGAUGACUUGUGGCUGGGGGUGAAAGGCCAAUCAAACCGGGAGAUAGCUGGUUCUCCCCGAAAGCUAUUUAGGUAGCGCCUCGUGAAUUCAUCUCCGGGGGUAGAGCACUGUUUCGGCAAGGGGGUCAUCCCGACUUACCAACCCGAUGCAAACUGCGAAUACCGGAGAAUGUUAUCACGGGAGACACACGGCGGGUGCUAACGUCCGUCGUGAAGAGGGAAACAACCCAGACCGCCAGCUAAGGUCCCAAAGUCAUGGUUAAGUGGGAAACGAUGUGGGAAGGCCCAGACAGCCAGGAUGUUGGCUUAGAAGCAGCCAUCAUUUAAAGAAAGCGUAAUAGCUCACUGGUCGAGUCGGCCUGCGCGGAAGAUGUAACGGGGCUAAACCAUGCACCGAAGCUGCGGCAGCGACACUGUGUGUUGUUGGGUAGGGGAGCGUUCUGUAAGCCUGUGAAGGUGUGCUGUGAGGCAUGCUGGAGGUAUCAGAAGUGCGAAUGCUGACAUAAGUAACGAUAAAGCGGGUGAAAAGCCCGCUCGCCGGAAGACCAAGGGUUCCUGUCCAACGUUAAUCGGGGCAGGGUGAGUCGACCCCUAAGGCGAGGCCGAAAGGCGUAGUCGAUGGGAAACAGGUUAAUAUUCCUGUACUUGGUGUUACUGCGAAGGGGGGACGGAGAAGGCUAUGUUGGCCGGGCGACGGUUGUCCCGGUUUAAGCGUGUAGGCUGGUUUUCCAGGCAAAUCCGGAAAAUCAAGGCUGAGGCGUGAUGACGAGGCACUACGGUGCUGAAGCAACAAAUGCCCUGCUUCCAGGAAAAGCCUCUAAGCAUCAGGUAACAUCAAAUCGUACCCCAAACCGACACAGGUGGUCAGGUAGAGAAUACCAAGGCGCUUGAGAGAACUCGGGUGAAGGAACUAGGCAAAAUGGUGCCGUAACUUCGGGAGAAGGCACGCUGAUAUGUAGGUGAAGUCCCUCGCGGAUGGAGCUGAAAUCAGUCGAAGAUACCAGCUGGCUGCAACUGUUUAUUAAAAACACAGCACUGUGCAAACACGAAAGUGGACGUAUACGGUGUGACGCCUGCCCGGUGCCGGAAGGUUAAUUGAUGGGGUCAGCGCAAGCGAAGCUCUUGAUCGAAGCCCCGGUAAACGGCGGCCGUAACUAUAACGGUCCUAAGGUAGCGAAAUUCCUUGUCGGGUAAGUUCCGACCUGCACGAAUGGCGUAAUGAUGGCCAGGCUGUCUCCACCCGAGACUCAGUGAAAUUGAACUCGCUGUGAAGAUGCAGUGUACCCGCGGCAAGACGGAAAGACCCCGUGAACCUUUACUAUAGCUUGACACUGAACAUUGAGCCUUGAUGUGUAGGAUAGGUGGGAGGCUUUGAAGUGUGGACGCCAGUCUGCAUGGAGCCGACCUUGAAAUACCACCCUUUAAUGUUUGAUGUUCUAACGUGGACCCGUGAUCCGGGUUGCGGACAGUGUCUGGUGGGUAGUUUGACUGGGGCGGUCUCCUCCUAAAGAGUAACGGAGGAGCACGAAGGUUGGCUAAUCCUGGUCGGACAUCAGGAGGUUAGUGCAAUGGCAUAAGCCAGCUUGACUGCGAGCGUGACGGCGCGAGCAGGUGCGAAAGCAGGUCAUAGUGAUCCGGUGGUUCUGAAUGGAAGGGCCAUCGCUCAACGGAUAAAAGGUACUCCGGGGAUAACAGGCUGAUACCGCCCAAGAGUUCAUAUCGACGGCGGUGUUUGGCACCUCGAUGUCGGCUCAUCACAUCCUGGGGCUGAAGUAGGUCCCAAGGGUAUGGCUGUUCGCCAUUUAAAGUGGUACGCGAGCUGGGUUUAGAACGUCGUGAGACAGUUCGGUCCCUAUCUGCCGUGGGCGCUGGAGAACUGAGGGGGGCUGCUCCUAGUACGAGAGGACCGGAGUGGACGCAUCACUGGUGUUCGGGUUGUCAUGCCAAUGGCACUGCCCGGUAGCUAAAUGCGGAAGAGAUAAGUGCUGAAAGCAUCUAAGCACGAAACUUGCCCCGAGAUGAGUUCU